ACGCUUUCGCAUGCUGUCGGUGGCCUGCGAUCAUUA
rnacentral:rRNA from 1 species